UUGGUUUCCAUACAACACCCAGUGCUCAUCUCAACAGGUGCCCUCCUCAAUGCCCAUUUCCCCCUCCGAUUUUUUUUUAAUGUCUUUUUCGAUUUCACCAAUGUCAGUAUUUUUCAAACAUAUUUCCAGAAUGAAUUUAGGACCUCCUUUGAGUCCUUAGGUCAAGGAUAACUUCACAUUGCUUCUAAUUGUUGAUUAGCAGCAUCAUUUAUUUGAAUAAAUCAUUUUUCAUUUAACUUUCUCAGGUGAUUAAUUCAUCCACCCACCCACCCUUUCUUUAAUGUUUACCAAUUUUUCACUCAAAGAAACAAACUGGUUCGGAGGAGUCUUUUUAGGUGAGAGGGAGUCAUGGUAGAUAUGGUAUCAAGGCCCAAGGGAACAAAACAUUUUGAGCCGCUGGUGUUUGGGAAUUUCCGCAUAUCAUUAGGUUAUCUUCAGUUUUGAGAUAAAUAUGGGUUUUUUUAUUUGCUUAUUUGUUUCUCAUCUUCAUGAGUUUGAAAAGGAGAGAAAAAAUUCCCUUUUAUUCUUUUUCUUUGAGCCUGAAUUGGGAGUUUCAUUUCAAAAGCCUCGAGUGGAUGAUUGAAGCAGGAAGACACAGAAAAAGGACCUCUGCUAGAUAGUCUGCUGUCAUUUUCUGCCUUGGAAAAUAACUAAGUGGCACUUGGAAUUAAACUCUCCCGGGGAAAGUGGUAUGACUAUUGAGAAUUUUAAGUUAAAAUCACUUUCUAUCUCUC